rnacentral:rRNA from 1 species
GGGAAACUGCCCGAUGGAGGGGGAUAACUACUGGAAACGGUAGCUAAUACCGCAUAACGUCGCGAGACCAAAGUGGGGGACCUUCGGGCCUCACACCAUCGGAUGUGCCCAGAUGGGAUUAGCUAGUAGGUGGGGUAAUGGCUCACCUAGGCGACGAUCCCUAGCUGGUCUGAGAGGAUGACCAGCCACACUGGAACUGAGACACGGUCCAGACUCCUACGGGAGGCAGCAGUGGGGAAUAUUGCACAAUGGGCGCAAGCCUGAUGCAGCCAUGCCGCGUGUAUGAAGAAGGCCUUCGGGUUGUAAAGUACUUUCAGCGGGGAGGAAGGCGGUGAAGUUAAUAGCUUCACCGAUUGACGUUACCCGCAGAAGAAGCACCGGCUAACUCCGUGCCAGCAGCCGCGGUAAUACGGAGGGUGCAAGCGUUAAUCGGAAUUACUGGGCGUAAAGCGCACGCAGGCGGUCUGUCAAGUCGGAUGUGAAAUCCCCGGGCUUAACCUGGGAACUGCAUUCGAAACUGGCAGGCUGGAGUCUUGUAGAGGGGGGUAGAAUUCCAGGU